rnacentral:lncRNA from 1 species
CGGUCCCCCGGACUGACGGCCAGCCGACCCUGCGGACAGACGGGCCACAAAGCAUGUCGCCCUGCGCCUGCUGAACCGCGAGCGCCCGAGGAUGUCAGCGCUGAGGAAGGUCUGUAUGAGCUGUUGGCUGUUGUGCCAGGCCGGCUGGGGCCACGUGUGGACAGCCAGGAAGACCUGACCUUCCUCUGGGAUAUGUUUGGUGAGAAAAGCCUGCAUUCACCGGUAAAGAAGUUACUCGUCGAGCACCAUUUUCCUUUAGAUCUUCACAAUAUCCUGGGUAGCCUUAGGUUGUGAGGUGGAAGUCUCUACUCUUCUGUGGGUAAGUUUAUGAAAGACUGAAGUUCGUUUGUCCUUUAGCAGAACUGACUUGUUGGGUUCCUUGGGCCUGGAUG